rnacentral:rRNA from 1 species
GUCGAGCGAACAGACGAGGAGCUUGCUCCUCUGACGUUAGCGGCGGACGGGUGAGUAACACGUGGAUAACCUACCUAUAAGACUGGGAUAACUUCGGGAAACCGGAGCUAAUACCGGAUAAUAUAUUGAACCGCAUGGUUCAAUAGUGAAAGACGGUUUUGCUGUCACUUAUAGAUGGAUCCGCCGCCGCAUUAGCUAGUUGGUAAGGUAACGGCUUACCAAGGCAACGAUGCGUAGCCGACCUGAGAGGGUGAUCGGCCACACUGGAACUGAGACACGGUCCAGACUCCUACGGGAGGCAGCAGUAGGGAAUCUUCCGCAAUGGGCGAAAGCCUGACGGAGCAACGCCGCGUGAGUGAUGAAGGUCUUCGGAUCGUAAAACUCUGUUAUUAGGGAAGAACAAAUGUGUAAGUAACUAUGCACGUCUUGACGGUACCUAAUCAGAAAGCCACGGCUAACUACGUGCCAGCAGCCGCGGUAAUACGUAGGUGGCAAGCGUUAUCCGGAAUUAUUGGGCGUAAAGCGCGCGUAGGCGGUUUUUUAAGUCUGAUGUGAAAGCCCACGGCUCAACCGUGGAGGGUCAUUGGAAACUGAAAAACUUGAGUGCAGAAGAGGAAAGUGGAAUUCCAUGUGUAGCGGUGAAAUGCGCAGAGAUAUGGAGGAACACCAGUGGCGAAGGCGACUUUCUGGUCUG